GUCUACAGCCAUAUACCUUGAAUAUGUCUGAUUUCAUCUGAUCUCCAAAGCUAAGCAAGGUCGGGCCUGGUUAGUACUUGGAUGGGGAGAAACGCUAUGUUCUUCUCCUGCUGCAGGUCCUCUAGACC
rnacentral:rRNA from 1 species